rnacentral:lncRNA from 10 species
AAAAUCUACGACCUGGGAAAGGAAAGAGCCAGUUGAGGAAAAGCCCUUUGUCCCUUCUUUGUUUAUAUCUCCAACUUCCCGAUUUUUCCUGUGGCUGUGAUGGCCAGGAUGUGGCAGCCCUCUGGUUAUAACAGUGUCACAAAUCCUUCAUUGAGGCUGCCUUGCAACCCAAGCUCUGCCUCUCUCCAAUCCUCUCUUUCCCUCCCUUCAUAGGUGCAGAUGCUGAGAGCACUUUCUAGUCAAGUCCUGCAUGUUCAUUUCUGUCUCAAGUCAGCUUCUCUGAGAAUCCAAUUUAUAAAAAUAUAUUUGUGAAUGUAUAAGUAAAGUGACUUGGAUUUUGUCUACGUACAAGGACUUCUAUGCCUGCAUAAAACAGUCUGACUGGUUGGAAGAGGCCCUUUUCCCAGCCUUUGUGAAAGAGAUCUUCAUGUAAACAGAGUCCCUCUUAUUGGCUGAAGUGAAGAGUCAUUCUGAGGAGGAUCUGAAAAUGUAGAGGUGAGACGCUAAUGGCAGAGUGGCCUCAGCUUUCACCAGGUUUUGAAAACAUCUGUGAGGGAGGCACCAAAUUCACUGUCCUGCAGCUUUGACUUCCCAAUCCUCGUUGCCUCGUGCUGCCAGCCUGUAUGCUGGUAGAAGUGUGUUCCUGGGAACAUCCUGGCAUCUUGUGUUAGGACUACACUGGUGCAUGGGACAGAUCACGCUCAAGAAGGUCGAUGUAAUUUGAAAAACAGAUGGGCUCUGCUUUGUGAAAACUCCAAGCAUAUGAAGUCUAACUUGAAUAAAAGGCAUCUCAAGAUGAAGGUUUCCUAUUUGUGAUUAUGAAAAAAAUGUCAAGAACAAGUCCCUUGGUGUUCUUAGACCAAAGUCAGAACAACAGACCUAGUAAGUAUUCUCUCAGCAUUCAUUACAUGUUAGCAACCUUCAAAGCAGUUUGUGUUCCCUCAUAUGGUCCUCCAUGAGGUAAGUAUCAGAGCUAUAGUAAGAUCUAUUUAACAGUGAGACCCAAAUGUGUCCCAAGACCACUCAGGAUUGCCCUGGUAACCCUGAAGCUCGAAAAUCCCUGAGAUCAAGACUGAAGGAGUCUGUGUUGUUCCUCCCGCAUGCUUCUUCCUUGCAUGUCCCUUUUUCUUCCCUUUCUGUAUCCUUUCUUCCCCAU